CCUACGGGUGGCAGCAGUGAGGAAUAUUGGUCAAUGGGAGAGAUCCUGAACCAGCCAAGCCGCGUGAGGGAAGACGGCCCUAUGGGUUGUAAACCUCUUUUGUCGGAGAACAAAACCCGGGACGUGUCCCGGACUGCGUGUAUCCGAAGAAAAAGCAUCGGCUAACUCCGUGCCAGCAGCCGCGGUAAUACGGAGGAUGCGAGCGUUAUCCGGAUUUAUUGGGUUUAAAGGGUGCGUAGGCGGAAUAUCAAGUCAGCGGUAAAAAUUCGGGGCUCAACCCCGUCGUGCCGUUGAAACUGAUGUUCUUGAGUGGGCGAGAAGUAUGCGGAAUGCGUGGUGUAGCGGUGAAAUGCAUAGAUAUCACGCAGAACUCCGAUUGCGAAGGCAGCAUACCGGCGCCCAACUGACGCUGAAGCACGAAAGCGUGGGUAUCGAACAGGAUUAGAUACCCUUGUAGUC
rnacentral:rRNA from 1 species